AUGUGUCAUGCUUUCUGUUUUGUUAUCAUUGGAAAAACAAUGACCAUAUGUUUUCUUUCCAUACUAAAAUCUAAGCCUGGGUUAGAUAGCAGUUACCAUCAUACCCUUUAUGCUAUUUUUUCAGCUGGAAUUAAACGCCCUGUCACCCCGGAGGACAUAGAAUGGGCAUCGUCAUCUCUGGCACAGCUUGACCGUUUUACAGGUCUGGGUUGGAUAUUAGCUCCAGAACCUCCUGCACUGCCUCAGACUUUUGACCCCUGCCAUCACAUCAAAACUUUUGAUGGGAUAUUGGCCAACUCCGGGUAUUGUGAGGACAAAGCUCAACAUCUCCUUUCAUCCCUUGCUGUGAGCCCACAAAAAAAGGAAGCCAUCGAGAGAGCCACAGUUGGGCAAACUAAGAAUGACUUAUGGUAAUAAUACAUACAAGGAUCGAUUGAUUUCAUGUGUACUAAAAGUCAUUAGUGACUAGCUCUUUCUUGAAUUGUUUUUUAAGUGCUGUGAGGUUAACUGUUGUGUGUUUCUUUAUAACAGGAUGGCAUAUCGCAAGAAGAGAGUUACAGCCAGCAACUUUGGUCUUGUGUUGGCGGCAGUGAAGAGGAACUCUUACCCUCCUUCAUUAUUCAAAACGCUGCUUGGUCAUUACAACUUCAAGCAAGGAGCUCAUGUAAGUGAUGGACACAAAGUUCUUUUAACCCUUGGGUACUGUAAUAAAACAUAUCCUUUAGUCCCUUUUUUUUUUUUUUUUUUAAAGGUACAACUUUAGCUGCUGUAAAAAACAUAAUAUAUACAGUUUUUUUACUCAGAUCUCUUCAUCAAUCUUGGCCCCGAUAAAAACACAAAAUUGCAGAUUUUUAAUAUAAAAAAUGGUGUAUGGGUGGAUAUUUGUUAUAUGCUAUCACACUCUUGGAUCUUCCAAAGACUUGUGAAAACAUCUGCUUUGGCACAUUACUUUUUCUGCAGCAUCAGAUUUUAAGUAAUACUCCCCAGCGACUCCCAUUAUAACCACAAUUUUUCAUUCAACCAUGACACUGCAGUGAAAUCACAUAUGAAAUAGGC
rnacentral:lncRNA from 1 species